AGUGUGAGUUUUGUUGCUUUCAUUAUAGGUUAGAUGGAACUUUUUCUAUAAACAAAAGCCCCAUAAUCUCUUGGGUGCUUUUACCCACUGUAGAAAUUAUAGAGCU
rnacentral:ncRNA from 1 species